GCAGGCUUAACACAUGCAAGUCGAGGGGCAGCAUGGUCUUAGCUUGCUAAGGCCGAUGGCGACCGGCGCACGGGUGAGUAACACGUAUCCAACCUGCCGUCUACUCUUGGACAGCCUUCUGAAAGGAAGAUUAAUACAAGAUGGCAUCAUGAGUCCACAUGUUCACAUGAUUAAAGGUAUUCCGGUAGACGAUGGGGAUGCGUUCCAUUAGAUAGUAGGCGGGGUAACGGCCCACCUAGUCUUCGAUGGAUAGGGGUUCUGAGAGGAAGGUCCCCCACAUUGGAACUGAGACACGGUCCAAACUCCUACGGGAGGCAGCAGUGAGGAAUAUUGGUCAAUGGGCGAGAGCCUGAACCAGCCAAGUAGCGUGAAGGAUGACUGCCCUAUGGGUUGUAAACUUCUUUUAUAAAGGAAUAAAGUCGGGUAUGCAUACCCGUUUGCAUGUACUUUAUGAAUAAGGAUCGGCUAACUCCGUGCCAGCAGCCGCGGUAAUACGGAGGAUCCGAGCGUUAUCCGGAUUUAUUGGGUUUAAAGGGAGCGUAGAUGGAUGUUUAAGUCAGUUGUGAAAGUUUGCGGCUCAACCGUAAAAUUGCAGUUGAUACUGGAUAUCUUGAGUGCAGUUGAGGCAGGCGGAAUUCGUGGUGUAGCGGUGAAAUGCUUAGAUAUCACGAAGAACUCCGAUUGCGAAGGCAGCCUGCUAAGCUGCAACUGACAUUGAGGCUCGAAAGUGUGGGUAUCAAACAGGAUUAGAUACCCUGGUAGUCCACACGGUAAACGAUGAAUACUCGCUGUUUGCGAUAUACAGCAAGCGGCCAAGCGAAAGCGUUAAGUAUUCCACCUGGGUAGUACGCCGGCAACGGUGAAACUCAAAGGAAUUGACGGGGGCCCGCACAAGCGGAGGAACAUGUGGUUUAAUUCGAUGAUACGCGAGGAACCUUACCCGGGCUUAAAUUGCAGAUGAAUUACGGUGAAAGCCGUAAGCCGCAAGGCAUCUGUGAAGGUGCUGCAUGGUUGUCGUCAGCUCGUGCCGUGAGGUGUCGGCUUAAGUGCCAUAACGAGCGCAACCCUUGUUGUCAGUUACUAACAGGUCAUGCUGAGGACUCUGACAAGACUGCCAUCGUAAGAUGUGAGGAAGGUGGGGAUGACGUCAAAUCAGCACGGCCCUUACGUCCGGGGCUACACACGUGUUACAAUGGGGGGUACAGAGGGCCGCUACCACGCGAGUGGAUGCCAAUCCCAAAAACCUCUCUCAGUUCGGACUGGAGUCUGCAACCCGACUCCACGAAGCUGGAUUCGCUAGUAAUCGCGCAUCAGCCACGGCGCGGUGAAUACGUUCCCGGGCCUUGUACACACCGCCCGUCAAGCCAUGGGAGCCGGGGGUACCUGAAGUGCGUAACCGCGAGGAGCGCCCUAGGGUAAAACUGGUGACUGGGGC
rnacentral:rRNA from 1 species